rnacentral:rRNA from 1 species
CUACGGGUGGCACCAGUGAGGAAUUUUGCGCAAUGGGGGUAACCCUGACGCAGCAACGCCGCGUGAGUGAUGAAGGCUUUCGGGUCGUAAAGCUCUGUCAAGUGGGAAGAAUAUACGAAAUGCUAAUACCAUUUUGUACUGACGGUACCACUGAAGGAAGCACCGGCUAACUCCGUGCCAGCAGCCGCGGUAAUACGGGGGGUGCAAGCGUUAUUCGGAAUUAUUGGGCGUAAAGAGCACGUAGGCGGCCGCUUAAGUCAGAUGUGAAAGCCCGGGGCUCAACCCCGGAAGUGCAUUUGAAACUAAGUGGCUUGAGUAUGGGAGAGGGAAGUGGAAUUCCUGGUGUAGAGGUGAAAUUCGUAGAUAUCAGGAGGAACACCGGUGGCGAGGGCGACUUCCUGGACCAAUACUGACGCUGAGGUGCGAAGGCGUGGGGAGCAAACAGGAUUAGAUACCCGGGUAGUC